rnacentral:rRNA from 1 species
UACGUAGGUGGCAAGCGUUGUCCGGAUUUAUUGGGCGUAAAGCGCGCGCAGGUGGUGCGGUAAGUCUGCCGUGAAAUCUCCCGGCUCAACUGGGAGGGGGCGGUGGAGACUGCCGGACUGGAGGGACUCAGAGGCCGGUGGAAUUCCCGGUGUAGUGGUGAAAUGCGUAGAGAUCGGGAGGAACACCAGUGGCGAAGGCGGCCGGCUGGGGGUGCCCUGACGCUGAGGCGGCGGAAAGCGUGGGGAGCGAACCGGG